rnacentral:rRNA from 1 species
CGGGGGGUGCUAUUAAUGCAGUCGACGCGUUGGCCCAACUGAUUGAGCGUGCUUGCACGGACUUGACGUUGGUUUACCAGCGAGUGGCGGACGGGUGAGUAACACGUAGGUAACCUGCCCCAAAGCGGGGGAUAACAUUUGGAAACAGAUGCUAAUACCGCAUAACAAUUUGAAUCGCAUGAUUCAAAUUUAAAAGAUGGCUUUGGCUAUCACUUUGGGAUGGACCCGCGGCGCAUUAGCUUGUUGGUAGGGUAACGGCCUACCAAGGCUGUGAUGCGUAGCCGAGUUGAGAGACUGAUCGGCCACAAUGGAACUGAGACACGGUCCAUACUCCUACGGGAGGCAGCAGUAGGGAAUCUUCCACAAUGGGCGCAAGCCUGAUGGAGCAACACCGCGUGAGUGAAGAAGGGUUUCGGCUCGUAAAGCUCUGUUGUUAGAGAAGAACGUGCGUGAGAGCAACUGUUCACGCAGUGACGGUAUCUAACCAGAAAGUCACGGCUAACUACGUGCCAGCAGCCGCGGUAAUACGUAGGUGGCAAGCGUUAUCCGGAUUUAUUGGGCGUAAAGCGAGCGCAGGCGGUUUGAUAAGUCUAAUGUGAAAGCCUUUGGCUUAACCAAAGAAGUGCAUCGGAAACUGUCAGACUUGAGUGCAGAAGAGGACAGUGGAACUCCAUGUGUAGCGGUGGAAUGCGUAGAUAUAUGGAAGAACACCAGUGGCGAAGGCGGCUGUCUGGUCUGCAACUGACGCUGAGGCUCGAAAGCAUGGGUAGCGAACAGGAUUAGAUACCCUGGUAGUCCAUGCCGUAAACGAUGAGUGCUAGGUGUUGGAGGGUUUCCGCCCUUCAGUGCCGCAGCUAACGCAUUAAGCACUCCGCCUGGGGAGUACGACCGCAAGGUUGAAACUCAAAGGAAUUGACGGGGGCCCGCACAAGCGGUGGAGCAUGUGGUUUAAUUCGAAGCUACGCGAAGAACCUUACCAGGUCCUGACAUCUUGCGCCAACCCUA